rnacentral:lncRNA from 10 species
CAAGGGGUGAUUUUCUUUGCCGGCUUCUUGGAUUUUUCUCUUCGUCUUCAGAACCUGAGCCCGUAUCCCACGGUGACUCGACCCCAAUCUCCCAGCUGCUAGCCCCCCCGGAAAAAUCUUAUCUCCCCCCGCCCUGGCCAUCACCCCUCCGCAUCCCCUUUCCCCCAAAUCCUCCCCAGCACGCGCUGGAGAAAACUGCGGGCCGAGGAACACCCCAUCCUCGCCGGAGGCUGCUGCCCCCAGGGCAAAGCUUCAGGAAGACCAGCCGAAAAUCAAGCGAGAACAACCCCCCUUUCCUGCAGAAAGGGCCCCAGACUCCUGCAAAAGGGCCCCGACUGCUGAGAAGCCCCUCCCGCCCUUGCCUCAUCUUUCCGACUUCCCUGCCUGCCACGUCUCCUUUCCUUUCCAGCAAGACGUACAGACCCCUGGGAAGAUGAAGAAAUCCAGAUCUGGAAUGGGCAGUGUAUUGAGAGCCUCCAAAGCCGGCAGGAGGUCCAGAGGGGGCAGGUGUCUCUUACAGAAGGCAUGAACAGGCACUCAACAUACGUUUCUUUAUUUAACCCUCAAGAACUCUGGUAGGUAAAUGUACUCUCAAAUUUACAAACAAAUGAGGAAACUGAGACCUGGAGAAUCUAAGUAACUGCCCAAGAUCACAUAGGCUUGGAGUGGCUCCAAAACCUUUGCUUUUUUUUUCAUACGGCAUUUAACAUAUAAAAUAGAGGUCUAACCCUUUAUAUGUCUAAAAGCUUUCUUCUUUCUACAUUUCACAUAGCGUAGUGGUUAAGAAUGCAGACUUUCUGAGUACAGUCCUGGCGCUACAGUGUCUUAAAACAUAUAAAGUACUUAGAAUAGUACCUGAUGUAGCCACAAGUGCCCCCAGAACAUUAGCAAUUGUGAAUCUAUUUCAUCAUGCCCAAAUCUGGCCAUGCCUGAAGCCUGCCCUGCUUCCAUACUGGAAUCAGUCUUCCACCUCUGUUUUGUACUCCUUGUCUCCCAUCUGGAGCUCUGACAAUGUAGUGCCUGUGGCUGUAUUCUGUCCACCCAGCAGUGGGCCCCACUCUGGCUUCAGUCAGGCAGGAUGGCUCCCUUUGCUGGGUUUGGAGGAGAGGCCAGCCCCUCUUCCCAUGGCUUCUCCAUUCCAUCCUCCCAAGGCCAGGGCCCUAGCCAUUUCCCUCUUCGGGAAAGAUUCUCUGUGGCAUCCCUAAGCACAUUCCUCAAGGUGAGGUAGUUCCAUCUCCUACAGGCUCUCAGCCACAGCCACUGACCUCUCUAGUCUUGCAAAACCCAGAGCAGAGGAGAGAAUCACCUGUGGUUCUUUUGCCAUCUUCACUUAACCUCAGUGAACCCACAGCAAGAGCCAGGACCAGCCCUUUCCAGCAGACACCCUCUGGGGGGACUACAGUCUGGGCCACAAGUAUGGUGUUAACCAACCAUGGUGCCACCUGUGCUCUGCACUGUGCAGGCACCAAGAAGACUUGGGAGGCCAUGCAGACAGCAUUGCUUCUGACCUAGGAAAGCUACUCCACCCAGCAGAGGCGUGAUCCUCAGAAACUGAAGAGCACAUCAAAGAGUGUAUGACCUAAGCAAGACUGGGCCAGAUGAUU